rnacentral:rRNA from 1 species
UACGGAGGGUGCGAGCGUUGUCCGGAAUCACUGGGCGUAAAGGGCGCGUAGGCGGCGCGGGCAGUCAACGGUGAAAGCUCGGAGCUCAACUCCGAGUCGGCCGUCGAUACUCCCGUGCUUGAGCACUGUAGAGGCAGGUGGAAUUCCUGGUGUAGCGGUGAAAUGCGCAGAUAUCAGGAGGAACACCGGUGGCGAAGGCGGGUCUCUGGGCCGAUACUGACGCUGAGGAGCGAAAGCGUGGGGAGCGAACAGG